CAAUCCCAAUGGUCUUCUUUUUUAAGUCCCUGACAUCACAGGCAUAAUGAAACAUCCUUUGGGCAGGAAGGAAGAUAUUAUUCGUCUCAUUUAUACUGAUGGGAAACAGAUUUUCUGAUACAUGUGAAAGAUGGUCCGAAGUUCCCUGCAUUUGCCUCACAACCGUCCCCAGGACAGACAUCGGGACCCUGAGGACCCUGAUCGGAAUGCUGGCCUGUCGGUGGUGGAGGAAUGCCAGAAAUCCUGAGGCCCCUGAGCAGAAUUCUGGCCUGCCAAGUGAUUGUUGGCAGCUGUGUCUACAGUGACUGCUUCUAGCAGGGCCUGCCAAGGGGCGAUGCGCCCUAUAUGCUCGCACCUGCUUGGCGAACAACAGUCCAGGAAUUUUCCCACCUCUUGGCCAGAUGAACUUGCUGGGGCAACUGCGGUAGCUGCCCCAUGGAAAAUCCUUCAUCUGCUCCACUACCACCGUGAGGGAUGGAGAUUGAAGCCCCCUCCCAAGGACUGAGGCUGAGAUCCCUGUAAUUCUGAUCCAGGGGUGUUGGCCUGACUGAAGCAGGAUGCCUGCUAAGUGUUGCCUGCAGAUGUGCUGGCGGGACCUAGGCUGGUUUCCCAUAGAAACCAGUCUUGAAACCACGAGUCCCACUCACUGCUGAUAUUGACUUCUCCUGCUGAGAACAUGGACUGUCUGUACCCGUCUUCAAUACCAUUUUCCCCCUCAGCAAUUUCAAUAGACUUGCUCUUUAUUGCAUCUGCUCCCCCUCAGCCAUUUCUAGGUCUGUUUCCCCCCUCAGCAAUGGACUAUAAUAGAGCCUUUAGUUAAUCAGGACUUGGAGAUUUCCCCUAGGAGAACUCCAUCGGCUCAACUGCGAGGACUUUUUCUCUCUCCAUUUGGUAGCUAUACUCCCUCUCUCUUUCCCCCCCUCUUUUCUAUUCUUUUCCUCUCCCUAAUUCCUUUAAGGCAUUUGCUGUGGUCAUUCUAGAAAGGUGCAUUUGUUUUGAGUGAUACUGCAAUCCCCUUUCCAUCUUGUCUUUUGCACUCCGAGAUCAGUUAAGGAACCAUCACCACCCCCUUGGUAUGAGCGGAUCAGGACAAUACGUUCUUUCCAGCUGGAAUUGGUUCUAGUCAAUAGAAGCACACUGGUAGGUAAAAGUAGACUAUAAAAGAUAACCUUCAGAAUGUAUUUCCCUUGUCUUCCCAUUCAAGCAAGUGAAGAAAGCAGACAGAUCUUCAGAUAACAUGCUAUGCAAAUUGAAAGGAAUCUUCUUGGAGGCAACUGUGAAACUCACGCAAUGAAAUAGCGUUCUGACAGAUGAAAGGGUCACAUAUGAUGUCAAAUCUAUACUUUUCAUGUUUGAAGGAAAGAAGAUUUCUUGAAGUACAAUCCUAUAAAAUGAAGGAGAAUUUGCAGAGGCAAUUGAACUGGGUCUCCUUUAGAAACACAAUGUUUUCUAAUUAAACUGAGCAUUCAGGAAGGCAACCUUGAAAUCGAAAAGAUUUAGAAACAUAUAAAUACCAAGACUGGCAGUUCAUUAUCUUGCUCAGUCUCUUUAAGAUAAGAUUUAUUUUUAACUUCCACUUGUAGUAGGUCUGAAGACAUUAGGAAUGAUGCAAUAUGAAAAAACCAAAACAAAACAACUUUCUCAAAAAGCUUUGAGAAACCAGAGAAAUGAUGAUUUUUAGUGGUUAGGUAUUCCUUAGAAUUUGUCUUGGGGGAAAGAGAUAAAAAACUGACUGAGACCAAAUGACUGUGGAGUAUAUUCCAAAACUGUAAUGAAGAAUGUAAGGGGCCUGUUAGAAAAAUUCUAUGUGCUGGCUUCAUCUGUUAAAAGCAUUCCAGAAUGGUUGAAAUUAUGAAUAACAUCUUGUGGGAUUAAAAAAAAAAAAAAAAAAAAAAAAAAAAAAAAAAAAAAAAAGGGGAAGAAAACAUAAGGAAAAAAAUAUUUGGAACAUAUUUUCCCAUUCCAGGAUGGCAUGACAGCUUUAUUUCAUUUUGUUCCUAUGACCCGUUAAUAGCUUAUGAAGUGUUUUACAAUAGAGUGAGAGUGUUCACACUAAGCAUACAAUUUGGAUGAAUCUCUUUUACUUUAUAGAGCAGCAGAUAUGGUUUAGCACUCCACAAUUUUGUGCUACCCAAAAGUGAGUAAGUGUGGCAGAUUUAAUCUAACUGCCCAGUCCACCAGUGUAGCCCCUCUCCCACAGCCACGGGGCUGUGCGGGUGCCCGGCUAGGCUGACCACGGCCCAGCCGAAGACAGCCACACUAAGUGACACUCCCAGAUUCCCUCCGGAACCCUGAGGGUACCAUCUGCGGCAUGGGUGGCGCAGGCGGGAUUUUCGGCUACGAGGUACCAAAGCAAAGGAAGGAGGAGGGACGCCUGUGUAAGUACCAAGGAUCUUUUAAUCUUGUUCUUCCCCGGUGGGUUCAGGGAGAGGUGACAAAGGCACGGUCCCGCGGGGACGCUGAUGAAGGGAGUAGGUGUGAUAGCAGGAGACACAAAGCUUACCAAUAGCAAGGACCCAGGGAGGAGCGUGGGUUACAGCUAAGCCACUGAGGAUCACACAGGGGAGGGGAAAAACUCCAGGGGCAAAUCAUACAUCAAAUUAAGGAAUGACUGGCACAGAGAAUUCUCGAGAUAAGAAGGGUGGUUACCAUGACAGGCAGGGGAGGGGGGAGCAGCUCUAACAGGGAGAAACCAUUGUGAGGGAAGUAGAUGGUGGGGAACCGAAUACCCCGAACCAUUAUUGAGUCACAAAAGGAAUAACUGAUUCUAAAAACACACAAUGCCACACACCAGAAUGCCUAAUUAUCUUGAAAAAUGCUUUGCUAUAUCUCAUUAUCUGGACGUGUCUCUCUAGCUCCACUUUGAGCUUCUUGAUCUUUCAUCUACAGGAUGAGAUCCAAUGUAGCUUUGCAAGGAUAUAGCCUUUCCAAAACAUAUCUUUUACCUUCUGUAUUCCUUCAAGUACAUUUCUACCGCAGGGACCAGUUUGGAAGAUCCUAGUUGUUUCAUUUCUCAGAUAUGUUGCUGCAUUAAAUAGCUCUUCUUUGAAGUUUUUUCCCUGCUCAAGUAUAGGGUCAGUGCUGAAAUGAUUGUGAUGCUAACUCCUUAUGAUAUAUUCUGCAGGCUUACAGAGUAUGCAGCAAAGUUUUCUCUUCUUCUGAGGACAUUCUACUCUUUUGAUGAGAAAUGCUGAAGGUCUGACUUCAGUUGCAAAGGUAUCUGAUUGACAGAUUGCAAAAUUGUUAAGUCUAGUAACAGCAGGAAAAGCGUGCUCUUGCUCUGUAUGUAAAUGUCGUGUCAGCUGCUGUUGGGAUAAAAAGCAUGAGCAUAAGCAAAGAUAUCUGCAUGGAUAGAAAAGAAACAAAGAAGGUAGUUGUUGUGAUUUCUGCACUAAGGAGCAAGAAGAAGCAUGAAGCGCUAAUUUCAGUGGCUAAGACAGUAUCAUCCUUGGGCCAGCUCUCUUCAACAUCUUUUGAACCACUUGGACUCGGCACUUGAAGGAAUAUUAAGCAAGUUUGCCAGAGACACUACAUCGGGAGGAGCUGUCAACUAACUCCCUUGAGGCCAGUGAGACCCUACGAGAGAGAUCUUGACAAAUAAGAGAGAUGGGCAUUCAUGGCACGCCGGGAGUCUAUGCACAAAUCACGAAAGGGGCUGUUGUAUUUUCCAGCAUCAGUCUCGUGACAUGGUUAUGACAGUGGGAAGAUGCCAGCAGCUCACGUCCCCAGCAGCAGAAAAAGAACUUGAUGUUACAACUUACUUGAAAAGCUUUUUGACCAAUCCCACAAAGCAAAAGCAUAUUGACAGUAGUUCUUUCCGAUCCCUAGAAGCACACAUAACUUUGGUUCAAAGAACACUUGCUUCUUUUGAAUAAAAGACCUGCUUGCAAGCCUUAAGAUACAA